CCUACGGGGGGCUGCAGUGGGGAAUAUUGGACAAUGGGGGCAACCCUGAUCCAGCCAUGCCGCGUGUGUGAAGAAGGCCCUCGGGUUGUAAAGCACUUUCAGUGAGGAAGAACGCCUGGUGGUUAAUACCCAUCAGGAAAGACAUCACUCACAGAAGAAGCACCGGCUAACUCCGUGCCAGCAGCUGCGGUAAUACGGAGGGUGCGAGCGUUAAUCGGAAUUACUGGGCGUAAAGCGCGCGUAGGUGGCUUGAUAAGCCGGUUGUGAAAGCCCCGGGCUCAACCUGGGAACGGCAUCCGGAACUGUCAAGCUAGAGUGCAGGAGAGGAAGGUAGAAUUCCCGGUGUAGCGGUGAAAUGCGUAGAGAUCGGGAGGAAUACCAGUGGCGAAGGCGGCCUUCUGGACUGACACUGACACUGAGGUGCGAAAGCGUGGGUAGCAAACAGGAUUAGAUACCCCUGUAGUC
rnacentral:rRNA from 1 species